GCAGUCAUGGGGUAGUGGUAACCUGGGUCGUUGCCACACAGUGACUCGACCCGCCCCGAGUUCGAUUCUCGGUGGCUGCA